rnacentral:rRNA from 1 species
CCUACGGGAGGCAGCAGUGAGGAAUAUUGGUCAAUGGACGAGAGUCUGAACCAGCCAAGUAGCGUGCAGGAUGACUGCCCUAUGGGUUGUAAACUUCUUUUAUAAAGGAAUAAAACGACGCACGUGUGCCUUUUUGCAUGUACUUUAUGAAUAAGGAUCGGCUAACUCCGUGCCAGCAGCCGCGGUAAUACGGAGGAUCCGGGCGUUAUCCGGAUUUAUUGGGUUUAAAGGGAGCGUAGAUGGGUUGUUAAGUCAGUUGUGAAAGUUUGGGGCUCAACCGUAAAAUUGCAAUUGAUACUGGCGGUCUUGAGUACAGUGGAGGUAGGCGGAAUUCGUGGUGUAGCGGUGAAAUGCUUAGAUAUCACGAAGAACACCGAUUGCGAAGGCAGCCUGCUGGACUGCAACUGACGCUGAUGCCCGAAAGCGUGGGGAGCGAACAGGAUUAGAUACCCGAGUAGUC